CCAGAGUUAAACAUGUAUCUGUUGAAUAAUAAGAGGGACUUAGUUUUCAGAUGGCAUCUCUGAGAGAGUAGAUGAGGACCUGGAACCUCAAAGGAGAUCAGGUUUUCAGGAAGUAACCUUGGUAAAACAAGGGUGCCUGACUGCAGUGGAGGCAAUGAGACCUUAGAAAAAGCCAAUCCACAAAUGCUCUGUUGAGAUCCCUGUCUGUGCUCUCCAGUUCUCAGCAGCAAGCUCCUAUCCUGGGCUUUGGGGAAGAAGAGGGACAGGGCUGGAUGGAAAGCUGUGUGGACAGAGAGAAGCCAGCACAGAGGCAAAGCCAUGGACAGGGGUUGAGUAUUCACAUGGAGCAGGGAUUGGGGGCCACUCGUUCCCUCAGAAGGGGGAUCAGGUAUCCCACUCCUCAACACCCCCUCCCACCUCGGGCAUCCUCUGGAACUUCAGGAAAGGCAUGCUCUUCUCACAGAACAGUUUACAGGGAUAUUUUAGGAAAGUCACUCCAGCAAAGUCAGAGGNCGAGAACAUUAAAACUAUAAUAGGAGUUCCUACUGUGGUACAAUGGAAUUGGCUGCAUCUUUGGAACACUGGGACUCAGGUUUAAUCCUGGCCCAACACAGUGGUUUAAGGACCCAGGCAUAGGAACUUCAGGGUGAAUCUCAUCCCUGGCAUAGGAACUCCACAUGCAGCAAGGCAGCCCAAAAGGGGAAAAGGGCUAGAGUAAAAAUAGGAGGCUAUGAAAAAUACUGUAUUGUGGGGUUUUUUUAAUUGGGCAUUAAAGCUAUAAUCAUCUUUGAGAUUAUAAUACCUAUGAGGAAAAAAAUUUAUUACUUUAAGGGAGUUCCCAUCAUGGCUCAGCAGUAAUGAAUCAGACUAGUAUCCAUGAGGACAUGGGUUAUUUCUCUGGUCUUACUCAGUAGGUUAAGGAUCUGGCGUUGCCAUGAGCUGUGGUGUAGUUUUCAGAUGGCUCAUCAGAUCUGGUGUUGCUGUGGUUGUGGCAUAGGCCAGCAGCUAUAGCUUUGUUUCUCCCCCUAACCUGGGAACUUCCAUAUUCUGUGGGUGUGGCCCUAAAAAGACCAAAAAAAAAAAAUUGCUAUUUGAAAAAAAGACCAAUGUUUUCAUAACUGGAGGCUACAACUGAAUGCCUCUAGAAUACUGUUGUGAAAAGCUAAAAACCGAUCAAUCAAGAUAGACAGGAUCUUGAGCACCAU
rnacentral:lncRNA from 1 species